AUUGAACGCUGGCGGCAGGCCUAACACAUGCAAGUCGAGCGAGCGGCGGACGGGUGAGUACUGUAUGGGGAUCUGCCCGAUAGCGGGCGAUAACUAGUGGAAACGGUGGCUAAUCCCCCAUACUAUCAGAUAAACCCAUAUGGGAUUAGCUAGUAGGUGGGGUAAAGGUGAACCUAGGCGCCGAUCUCUAGCUGGUCUGAGAGGAUGACCAGCCACACCGGGACUGAGACACGGCCCGGACUCCUACGGGAGGCAGAAGUGUGAAAUAUUGCACAAUGGGCGCAAGCCGGAUUCAGCCAUGCCGCGUGUAUGAAGAAGGCCGUAGGGUUGUAAGGUACUUUCAGCGUGGAGGCGUUACCCGCAGAAGAAGCACCGGCUAACUCCGUGCCAGCAGCCGCGGUAAUAC
rnacentral:rRNA from 1 species